GACGAACCACACGAACGUUAUUCGGAAUCACUGGGCGUAAAGGGUGCGUAGGCGGCCGUGCAAGUCUGGCGUGAAAGCCCCGGGCUCAGCCCGGGAAGUGCGCUCGAAACUGCGCGGCUCGAGUGCCGGAGGGGAGAGUGGAAUUCCUGGUGUAGCGGUGAAAUGCGUAGAUAUCAGGAGGAAUACCGGUGGCGAAAGCGACUCUCUGGACGGCAACUGACGCUGAGGCACGAAAGCGUGGGGAGCAAACAGG
rnacentral:rRNA from 1 species